rnacentral:rRNA from 1 species
AUGUAAAAUGACUCUCGGCAACGGAUAUCUCGGCUCUUGCAUCGAUGAAGAACGUAGCGAAAUGCGAUACUUGGUGUGAAUUGCAGAAUCCCGUGAACCAUCGAGUCUUUGAACGCAAGUUGCGCCCAAAGCCAUUAAGCUGAGGGCACGCCUGCCUGGGUGUCACAC